AACGAACGCUGGCGGCGUGCCUAACACAUGCAAGUCGUGCGAGAAAGUUCCUUCGGGAGCGAGUAAAGCGGCGCACGGGUGAGUAACACGUAGGUAACCUGCCCCCCAGUCUGGAACAACUAGAGGAAACUCUAGCUAAUGCCGGAUGAGACCACGAUCCCUUCGGGGGUUGCGGCCAAAGAUGGCCUCUACUUGUAAGCUAUCGCUGAGGGAUGGGCCUGCGGGCCAUUAGCUUGUUGGUGAGGUUAACGGCUCACCAAGGCUGUGAUGGCUAGCUGGUCUGAGAGGAUGACCAGCCACACUGGGACUGAGACACGGCCCAGACUCCUACGGGAGCAGCAGUGGGGAAUAUUGCGCAAUGGGCGAAAGCCUAGACGCAGCGACGCCGCGUGGGUGAUGAAGGCCU
rnacentral:rRNA from 1 species